rnacentral:rRNA from 1 species
UGAGUAAUACAUAANUAACCUGGCAUCUACAGGGGGGAUAACUGAUGGAAACGUCNGCUAAGACCGCAUAGGUGUAGAGAUCGCAUGAACUCUAUAUGAAAAGUGCUACGGGACUGGUAGAUGAUGGACUUAUGGCGCAUUAGCUUGUUGGUAGGGUAACGGCCUACCAAGGCGACGAUGCGUAGCCGACCUGAGAGGGUGACCGGCCACACUGGGACUGAGACACGGCCCAGACUCCUACGGGAGGCAGCAGUAGGGAAUUUUCGGCAAUGGGGGAAACCCUGACCGAGCAACGCCGCGUGAAGGAAGAAGUAAUUCGUUAUGUAAACUUCUGUCAUAGAGGAAGAACGGUGGAUAUAGGUAAUGAUAUCCAAGUGACGGUACUCUAUAAGAAAGCCACGGCUAACUACGUGCCAGCAGCCGCGGUAAUACGUAGGAGGCGAGCGUUAUCCGGAAUUAUUGGGCGUAAAGAGGGAGCAGGCGGCACUAAGGGUCUGUGGUGAAAGAUCGAAGCUUAACUUCGGUAAGCCAUGGAAACCGUAGAGCUAGAGUGUGUGAGAGGAUCGUGGAAUUCCAUGUGUAGCGGUGAAAUGCGUAGAUAUAUGGAGGAACACCAGUGGCGAAGGCGACGAUCUAGCGCAUAACUGACGCUCAGUCCCGAAAGCGUGGG